UCUUUUAGAAAAAAUAGAUAAUAUUGAAAAAUGUUCUGGUUUGGUUUUAUCUAUAAAAAAUGUAUAGGUUAUUUUGAAGAUAGUUCAGAAGAUAUUUAUACCUUUAUUACUUGGGUAUCAUCAUGGACCAGAGGUUUACGUUUGCCAAACACAUGGAAAUUGUCACCAAAUAACCCUCCUGCCCAGCGGCCGCACUGGCUAGGCUCAUGGCCAACGUUAGAGAUCCAUGCCAGUGAAAUCGGAGACUGUUGUGUUCAGUAGUCGAGAGCCAGGUGUUGUACCUGUUUGGAUAAAUCGAGUGGUUGUCUCGGGCAGGACAAGGUCUAUACUGAUAAUACCGCAGAAGACAGCAGUCCUUAGGGUCAUCUCAGCGUACCGUACAGUUUCCGACGAGGCAUCGCUAUUUCUGACUGUCAUGCCACCGGCCGACCUCCUAAGCCUGGAGAGGUUGAAAAUUAGGGCUUGCCUGCACGCUCUUAUCCUUCCCGGAGAUUCACCUGAUCUGUCCAAGUAUUCUGUCAGAAGGAACGCAAGACGACGGUUGUCCAAGUAUAUGUCACGUCAUUCCUGUUGUCGGAAGUGGAUAGGAAGAACGAUACCGAAGAUGCAACUGACAUAUCACAUGACCCGGGAAUGGCUGCUUCCAGCACUACCUGCACCAGAUGGGUAGGGCUGCCAGUGCAUGGUGUAAUCACUAUGGCAGCAAAGCCAACACUUCCGAAUACACAUUGUGGCGCACCUCAAGCCGCUUACUGACCUCUGAGUCUUUCAACUAAAACUGUGUGGUCUUGAUUUAGAGGGUCUACCCUCUGACUAGGAACAAAAGAUGACAGUCCUCACGGACGCUGAAGAAUUUCCGGGUGUUCUACGCGAUGUUGGAAAAAAUCCUGACUGCAAAGAAUGGCAAGGCAGACGGCCGAGAGGAGGUGACACGAUCCUUCCGCUAAGCGUCUGACGACUCCCCUCCCACCAAGGAGUACGAGUCAAAAGAGUGGUGUACUUAUGCCGGCUCGCAAACAGGCAGUCAGAAUGGAACGUCAAGGACGGAGGGCUAAGGCUUAAGAUUUGAAGUAAAUAUGUAAAAGUUCACUGAAAGUAAAUAUUAUGCAAAAUCUAUAUUGCGUCAUCUAAAUCAAUAAUAGGUGCAUUGCACUUUCAAUAACUGGAAGCCUGCUCGUCGUUUCAUUUAUUUCUCGGGACCACAUUGCCACAGUCAAUGCAUCAUUAGCUAAUUUUUUAGAUUCUUUCAAUAUUCCUAGACCUGGUGGAAUUUGAUGAUCAAUCUAAAAGUGAAUUGCUUCUUCUCAAGGGAAACAUUGAAAGGCUGUUGAAAAUUAAUAGAAGUUUUAUUAACAUGUGUCUAUCAAUAUGUGAUGAAUAGAAUUCAAGAUGGCAACCAAAUUGGCUGUAAUACAUUCACUCUGAAAAGUGGAAUAUUCUUUUACUUCCAAUUAUGUUUAUAGCAAUUUAAUGCUAGACAUAGUUUAUCGGGAACAUAUUUGAGACAUUGUAAUCAUCCUGAUCCUAUAGCAAUUCUAUACCAAGGAGAACCAUUUUUAUGUGCUAACUUUGUUCAAUUUAAAUGCCAAUUAGCCACAGCCUUGGCACAUUAGCUGUGGGAUUAAAGUUUGUUUGCCAAGGCUGAGGUAUUUAGACUGUUCCAAGUUGACUUAUAAAAACAACAGACCUUGUCACAUCAGAGUUGUCACUAUUUCAGAACAAUAAGAUUAUAUGAAAUAUAACCCCAAAAAUAGAUGGGUAUUGAGAUAAAAUUAUAACGUGAUUUAACCAACUAAUGAAUAAAAAUGUUGUUUGCAGUAAUUAGAUUUUUAAAUUAAAAUUGAUCUGUUUAUUUUUUUUUUAUUUGUCAUAUUUUAA